GACGAACGCUGGCGGCGUGCUUAACACAUGCAAGUCGAACGGUGAAGCGCCUUCCUUUUUGGUGGGUGUGGAUGAGUGGCGAACGGGUGAGUAACACGUGAGUAACCUGCCCCCUUCUUCUGGAUAACCGCAUGAAAGUGUGGCUAAUACGGGAUAUUCUGGGUCUGUCGCAUGAUGGGUCUGGGAAAGAUAUUGUUUCGGUGGGGGAUGGGCUCGCGGCCUAUCAGCUGGUUGGUGGGGUGAUGGCCUACCAAGGCGGUGACGGGUAGCCGGGCUGAGAGGGUGGACGGUCACACUGGGACUGAGACACGGCCCAGACUCCUACGGGAGGCAGCAGUGGGGAAUAUUGCACAAUGGGCGCAAGCCUGAUGCAGCGACGCCGCGUGAGGGAUGGAGGCCUGCGGGUUGUGAACCUCUUUCGCCAGUGAAGCAGGCCUGCCUCGUUUGUGGGUGGGUUGACGGUAGCUGGAUAAGAAGCGCCGGCUAACUACGUG
rnacentral:rRNA from 1 species